rnacentral:rRNA from 1 species
UACGGAGGGUGCAAACGUUGCUCGGAAUCAUUGGGCGUAAAGCGCACGUAGGUGGUCCAGCAAGUCGGGUGUGAAAGCCCUCGGCUUAACCGAGGAAGUGCAUUCGAAACUACUGGACUUGAGUACUGAAGAGGGUCGCGGAAUUCCCGGUGUAGAGGUGAAAUUCGUAGAUAUCGGGAGGAACACCAGUGGCGAAGGCGGCGACCUGGGCAGAUACUGACACUGAGGGGCGAAAGCGUGGGGAGCGAACAGG